UACGGAGGGUGCGAGCGUUGUCCGGAAUCAUUGGGCGUAAAGGGCGCGUAGGUGGCGGGACAAGCGUGCGGUGAAAGCUCGGGGCUCAACCCCGCGUCGGCCGUGCGAACUGUUUUGCUUGAGCACUGUAGAGGCAGGCGGAAUUCCGGGUGUAGCGGUGGAAUGCGUAGAGAUCCGGAAGAACACCGGUGGCGAAGGCGGCCUGCUGGGCAGUAGCUGACGCUGAGACGCGAAAGCGUGGGGAGCAAACAGG
rnacentral:rRNA from 1 species